CUUCGGUGAAGUCUGCUGUCAAGUUACUGGACACGUGGUAUUUGCACAACACUUCUGAAUCCGCAGCUUCGGUGUUUUAAGGCUGUUUCGAUAUGGAGAAGAAGUGGGAAGAGAUUUACGCGUUUAUUUCUGCUGGCUCCUACCCUUCAGGAUAUGACAAGGCUCAAAGGCAAAACCUCAGAAGAUAUGCCUCAAAAUUCAAACAAAAGGAUGGAGAACUCUUUGUUGGAACCAGAAGAGUAGUAAAAACCAUGGAUGAUGCCAGGAAGAUAUUUCAUGAGUUUCAUUCAUCUCCAAUUGGAGGACACACUGGCAUACACAAAACGCUCAGUGCAGUGUGUUCCAGAUUUUACUGGUUUGGUAUGACAGUUGACAUUAAAACAUGGGUAUGUAUUAACUGUUUGCAUUGUUGUUAAAUGCCGUUUAAAAUAAGCAAUUUUUUUUUAUAUUAGUUAAAAGAGAAACUGUACAUUUGCAAAAUAUAAAUAAAUAUGGUUAAUUAGUGAUAUUACAGUAUUAACCUGUAGGCCUGGCAGAGAUUUGAAGACACACACAAAGUAUUGUUGCUAAAUUGUUUGUUCGUUAGAGAAUAUGUCAUUAAGUGAUUUUUUUUUUUAUUAUUAUUAUUAUUUUAAUAAAUGAGAAUGUUGAACAUUUACGUGAACUCCAUAAAUUUUUUUACCUUAAAGAUUCUGGAAUGUGAUCAGUGUCAAAAAGUUGGGAAACCACUGACUGCUGUGCAACCGUUGCAGUGUAUUCAGGUAAAUAUUAUGCCCCUUUUACCCAUCAAACUAUGCUUCUAGCUCAUAUUCAUAAAGGCAGGAGGGUUUGCCAACUAAUUUUAACCAUCGAUGUUAAUGUGUACAUUAUACAAAUUGUUAUUCAAAUUAUUAAUUUGUCCUUGAUAGGUGUCUGAAGUGUGGGAACUUAUUGGUAUAGAUCUUACUGGACCUCUUCCUAAAACGUCAAGCGGCUUCCAGUAUAUACUUACUGCAACUGACUACUUUUCAAAAUGGGUUGAAGCUUUCCCAUUAAAAACGAAAUCUGCAUCUGAGGUAGCCCAGCACUUGUGCUCCAUUAUAUAUAGACAUGGCUGCCCCAAAAGGAUUUUGUCAGACCAAGGCAGAGAGUUUGUGAAUGAAGUAAGUGUUAAAUAAUUUUCAGUUACAUUUUUUAACUUUACUUCACUGGGGUCAAAGAUUUUUUUCUUGUGUGCUUGUAUAAGAAGUAUAAGAACCUUGUCCUUAUCUGUUGAAGCUCAACUCUAAUCUUUGCAAGUUAUUGCAAACUGAAAGAAGUGUCACAGCAGCAUACCAUCCACAGACCAAUGGUCUAGAUGAAAAGACCAAUGACAACAUAAAAAGGUAUGCCUAAUUUUUAUCUAUCAGUUUUUAAUAACAUUACUUAUGUUAUUCAAACUUAAUUGUUACUUAAUAAUUUAUUAAUUUCUUUACUUCUAAUUAAACUUUCAUUAGUGUCUUUACAUAUUUCUAUGCCUGCAUUUAGAGCCCUCCGAAAACUGGUGAAUGACCAGCAGAAUAACUGGGAUCUGUAUCUAGAUCCCACCCUGUUUUCACUGCGGUCAAAAGUACAUACCACAACAUUUUACUCACCUUUUUUUCUGAUGUAUGGAAGAGAGGCAGUAUUUCCAUCAGAAGUGCCUGCUCAAGUGCCGGUGAGUGUUUGUCAAAUUCUUUCUAUGUUAGAACUAAGAAUUGAAACCAUUUAAGUAAAAAACCCAGUAAUGUCUUUAUGAAUAUGAUAUCAUCUUGUUUUAAUUGCUGAUAUCUACAAAAUUUUAGAUUUCCAACAUCAUUCUGCCAGACGACAAAAGGUACAGUGACUAUGUACAGUCUGAAAGUGAAGCACAACAUGCAGUUAAAGAAACUGCACAAGAAAACAUUGCGAAGUCACAAGACAAGCAAAAGGUUGCAUACGCCGAGCGGGUCCUGAAAAAGUGCAAAAAUGUUGUGUACAAUGUAGGCG
ensembl:lncRNA